UACAGAGGGGGCAAACGUUGUUCGGAUUUACUGGGCGUAAAGGGUGUGUAGGCGGUCUUGCAAGUCAGGGGUGAAAUCUCUCGGCUCAACCGAGAAACUGCCUUUGAGACUGCAGGACUUGAGGGCGUGAGAGGAGACUGGAAUUCCUAGUGUAGCGGUGAAAUGCAUAGAUAUUAGGAGGAACACCAGUGGCGAAGGCGAGUCUCUGGCACGCAUCUGACGCUGAGACACGAAAGCCAGGGGAGCGAACGGG
rnacentral:rRNA from 1 species